rnacentral:lncRNA from 1 species
UAAAAAAUUGAUCUUAUGUGUGUGAAAUAAUAUGAAUGUAUGUCAUAUAUAAGAAUGUAUAUAUAACAUAUGUAUUAUGUUGCUUGUUUUACUUAAAGUCAAUGAUAGGCAUUGCUCCUGGCUUUGUACAUAAUCAAAAAUCAUUAUUUUAGUUUUCAUAAAGGAGUCUCUUGUUGGUGUGAACUAUAGUUUUUGUCCAACUACUCUACUUUCCUUAAACAUAUAGAUUGUUUUGUAUUUGGAGCUACUAAAAACACCACUAUGAUGAAGAAUUUUUCCUCUCCCUAUCACCGUCAUCUAUCAUCAAUCAAUCAAUUAAUACAUUUAUCAUCUAUCUGCUUAUCUAUCACUGUCAUUUUUGACCCGUCUACCUCUCUAUCUUUGUUUGUAUAUCCACUCAUGUUUCUUUUUAUUUUUGUAUCUAUCGUAUAUAUAUGCAUAUAUAAAUUUAUGCCUAUAUUUAUAUACUUUGGUAUUGUAUUAUCAGUGCCAGCGCCUUAAAAUGAAGACAUACAUGUAAAGUUGGAGGUCAAAAAGUAUUAACAACAACGAAGAAAACUUUAAAAAUGGAAAAGCAUAAUACAUGAAUAGACUUCAAGAUCUUUGCUUGUUUACACAAGCAAUUAGGACUUCUUGUGUGCCAAACCCAGCAGCAGCAUGCAAAAACCGUGUCCGUAAGCCUCGGUCCAGUGCCCUCCCGGCUUCUGUUGAAUGCUGUCUUCCUGAGGUAAGAAAAAUCAGACCUGGGACGAAGUCUUUAUCCUGCAGCCGCACAGUCAUACCCCACUUCUCUCUUCCCUCCCAGAAUGUUGACCUUUGGGAUGGAGAUUGGUUUAGUCAAACCAAUACCUGCAUGUUAACACCUUGAAAUGAAAUACUACAUAAUCUCGAACAAAACAGCAAUCUCCUCUUGAUUUUACUUUUCUUGUUGAUUUUUGUCUGCCACCUACUUGUUCUAUAAACUAUUUUAUAAAUUAUUAAAUAGAUCAUAGCUUUGGCUCUGAUGCAAAUUUGGUUUAGUUUUUUUUUUCAGCAUACUGUUUCUUUCUUUCUCUCUCUCUAUCUCCCCCUAACUUCCCAUCUUACUAUACAUUUUUACUUUUCUUCCAAUUUCACAUUGAAAUAUCUGAUCCUCUUAUCUGUAAUCUCUGAAGUUUCCCACUGAACUUUAUGGUUUAUAUUUUUGCUCCUGGUAUGAAAACAAUCAUG